rnacentral:sRNA from 1 species
AUUCUCCGGUAGGUGAGGCUACCACAGGGAUACGGAUUGCUACCGACUUUACGCAUGGAGACAUGCAACGUAUGGUUAGCAGGUCGUGUCGAAACCAAGGCACAAUCUAAUGCAAUUUCAUUGCCCUGUGAUGCUAAAGCUUGU